rnacentral:rRNA from 1 species
UACGUAGGGGGCAAGCGUUAUCCGGAUUCAUUUGGCGUAAAGCGCGCGUAGGCGGCCAGCCUGGUCGGGAGUUAAAUCCGGGGGUUCAACCCCCGUCCGCUCCCGAUACCGGCCGGCUUGAGUCUGGCAGGGGAAGGCGGAAUUCCCGGUGUAGCGGUGGAAUGCGCAGAUAUCGGGAAGAACACCGGUGGCGAAGGCGGCCUUCUGGGCCACGACUGACGCUGAGGCGCGAAAGCUAGGGGAUCGAACAGGAUUAGAUACCCUGGUAGUCCCUGAGCGGGCUGGCAAGG